UCGCCAAGAACCCCAAACUCAUGCUGCGCAGGACGGAGACCGUGGUGGAGAAGAUGCUAACCAACUGGAUGUCCAUCUGUCUCUACUCCUUCCUCAAGGAGGUGGCUGGGGAGCCCCUGAUGCUGUACAGAGCCAUCAAGUACCAGGUGGAUAAGGGACCAGUAGAUGCUGUGACGGGGAAAGCCAAGCGCACCCUGAACGACAGCCAUCUACUG